rnacentral:rRNA from 1 species
GAAUAUUGGGCAAUGGACGGAAGUCUGACCCAGCCAUGCCGCGUGCAGGAAGAAGGCCUUCUGGGUUGUAAACUGCUUUUAUCAGGGAAGAAAACACUCCUGCGGGAGAAACUGACGGUACCUGAUGAAUAAGCACCGGCUACCUCCGUGCCAGCAGCCGCGGUAAUACGGCGGGUGCAAGCGUUGUCCGGAUUUAUUGGGUUUAAAGGGUGCGUAGGCGGCUUAUUAAGUCAGUGGUGAAAGCCAACAGCUCAACUGUUGAACUGCCAUUGAUACUGAUAAGCUUGAGUACAGACGAGGUAGGCGGAAUUGAAGAUGUAGCGGUGAAAUGCAUAGAUAUCUUCAAGAACACCGAUUGCGUAGGCAGCUUACUAGGCUGUAACUGACGCUGAGGCACGAAAGCGUGGGGAGCGAAC